rnacentral:misc_RNA from 1 species
UUUCCGUAGGUGAACCUGCGGAAGGAUCAUUACUGAGUGAGGGCCCCUCGGGGUCCAACCUCCCACCCGUGUUUCACGAACCUUGUUGCUUCGGCGGGCCCGCCUCACGGCCGCCGGGGGGCAUCUGCCCCCGGGCCCGCGCCCGCCGUAGCCACCUGUCAACGCUGUCUGAAGUAUGCAGUCUGAGACAAUUAUUAAAUUAAUUAAAACUUUCAACAACGGAUCUCUUGGUUCCG